GUGCUCGCUUUGGUGGCAUUUAUACUAAAAUUGGAAUGAUACAGAGAAGAUUAGCAUGGCCCCCACAGAAGGAUGACAGACAAAUUCAUCAAGCAUUCCACGUUUUU